rnacentral:misc_RNA from 1 species
GAUGAAGAACGUAGCGAAAUGCGAUAACUAAUGUGAAUUGCAGAAUUCAGUGAAUCAUCGAGUCUUUGAACGCACAUUGCGCCCCCUGGUAUUCCGGGGGGCAUGCCUGUCCGAGCGUCAUUGCUGCCCUCAAGCAGGGCUUGUGUGUUGGGCUCCGUCCCCCCGGGGACGGGCCCGAAAGGCAGCGGCGGCACCGAGUCCGGUCCUCGAGCGUAUGGGGCUUUGUCACCCGCUCUGUAGGCCCGGCCGGCGCCAGCCGACAACCCAUCAUCCUUUUCAGGUUGACCUCGGAUCAGGUAGGGAUACCCGCUGAACUUAAGCAUAUCAAUAAGCGGAGGA